GCAGAAGGAUCAUUAGUGAAGAUUUGGGCAGGCCAUACGGACGCCACAAAGUGUCCCUGGCCGCCUACACCCACUAUACAUCCACAAACCCGUGUGCACUGUCCUUGGAAAGGGCAUUUGGAGAGAAAAAGGAAGAGAAGCGAGAACAGUGCGAUCCGUCGCGUUGGGCGUUGAUCUCUGACUUGGUCUCUCUGAGGCCCUUCCCUCGCUACAAACUCGAAUGGUUAGUAUGAACGUGGAACUUGGUUGGACCGUCACUGGCCAACAAACUAUACACAACUUUCGACAACGGAUCUCUUGGUUCUCCCA
rnacentral:misc_RNA from 1 species